rnacentral:rRNA from 1 species
UACGUAGGGUGCGAGCGUUAAUCGGAAUUACUGGGCGUAAAGCGUGCGCAGGCGGUUUUGUAAGCCAGAUGUGAAAUCCCCGGGCUUAACCUGGGAAUGGCAUUUGGGACUGCAAGGCUGGAGUGCGGCAGGAGGAGACUGGAAUUCCUGGUGUAGCAGUGAAAUGCGUAGAUAUCAGGAGGAACACCGAUGGCGAAGGCAGGUCUCUGGGCUGACACUGACGCUCAUGCACGAAAGCGUGGGGAGCAAACAGG